rnacentral:tRNA from 1 species
UGGCUUAGUGGUAGAGUGCUUGCCUAGCAUGCAUGAAGCCCUGGGUUCGAUUCCUUG